GAUGAACGCUGGCGGCGUGCCUAAUACAUGCAAGUCGAGCGAAUGGAUUAAGAGCUUGCUCUUAUGAAGUUAGCGGCGGACGGGUGAGUAACACGUGGGUAACCUGCCCAUAAGACUGGGAUAACUCCGGGAAACCGGGGCUAAUACCGGAUAACAUUUUGAACCGCAUGGUUCGAAAUUGAAAGGCGGCUUCGGCUGUCACUUAUGGAUGGACCCGCGUCGCAUUAGCUAGUUGGUGAGGUAACGGCUCACCAAGGCAACGAUGCGUAGCCGACUGGAGAGGGUGAUCGGCCACACUGGGACUGAGACACGGCCAAGACUCCUACGGGAGGCAGCAGUAGGGAAUCUUCCGCAAUGGACGAAAGUCUGACGGAGCAACGCCGCGUGAGUGAUGAAGGCUUUCGGGUCGUAAAACUCUGUUGUUAGGGAAGAACAAGUGCUAGUUGAAUAAGCUGGCACCUUGACGGUACCUAACCAGAAAGCCACGGCUAACUACGUGCCAGCCGCCGCGGUAA
rnacentral:rRNA from 1 species